rnacentral:rRNA from 1 species
CCUACGGGGUGCAGCAGUGGGGAAUAUUGGGCAAUGGGCGCAAGCCUGACCCAGCAAUGCCGCGUGAAGGAAGAAGGCUUUCGGGUUGUAAACUUCUUUGACAGGGGAAGAGCAGAAGCCGGUACCCUGAAAACAAGCCACGGCUAACUACGUGCCAGCAGCCGCGGUAAUACGUAGGUGGCAAGCGUUGUCCGGAUUUACUGGGUGUAAAGGGCGUGUAGCCGGGAAGGCAAGUCAGAUGUGAAAUCUGGAGGCUCAACCUCCAAAUUGCAUUUGAAACUGUUUUUCUUGAGUACUGGAGAGGCAGACGGAAUUCCUUGUGUAGCGGUGAAAUGCGUAGAUAGAAGGAGGAACACCAGUGGCGAAGGCGGUCUGCUGGACAGCAACUGACGGUGAGGCGCGAAAGCGUGGGGAGCAAACAGGAUUAGAUACCCGGGUAGUC